CCUACGGGAGGCAGCAGUGGGGAAUUUUGGACAAUGGGCGCAAGCCUGAUCCAGCUAUUCCGCGUGUGGGAAGACGGCCUUCGGGUUGUAAACCACUUUCGUAGAGAACGAAAAGUCUAUUGAUAAUACCGAUAGAUGAUGACGGUACUCUAAGAAUAAGCACCGGCUAACUACGUGCCAGCAGCCGCGGUAAUACGUAGGGUGCGAGCGUUAAUCGGAAUUACUGGGCGUAAAGGGUGUGCAGGCGGUUUUGCAAGAUGGCUGUGAAAGCCCCGGGCUUAACCUGGGAAAGCCAUACAUGACUGCAAGACUAGAGUGCGUCAGAGGGGGGUGGAAUUCCAAGUGUAGCAGUGAAAUGCGUAGAUAUUUGGAAGAACACCGAUGGCGAAGGCAGCCCCCUGGGACGCAACUGACGCUCAUACACGAAAGCGUGGGGAGCAAACAGGAUUAGAUACCCGGGUAGUC
rnacentral:rRNA from 1 species